rnacentral:rRNA from 1 species
UACGUAGGGGGCCAGCGUUGCUCGGAAUUACUGGGCGUAAAGGGUUCGUAGGUGGUGCGGCAAGUUGGGAGUGAAAUCUCUGGGCUUAACUCAGAGGCUGCUUUCAAAACUGCCGCGCUCGAGUGCGAGAGAGGUCAGUGGAAUUGCAGGGGUAGCGGUGAAAUGCGUAGAUAUCUGCAGGAACACCCGUGGCGAAGGCGGCUGACUGGAUCGCAACUGACACUGAGGAACGAAAGCUAGGGGAGCAAACAGG